rnacentral:tRNA from 1 species
CGGGCAGUAGCUCAACGGUAGGGCUUUCGCCUCAAAUGCGAAAAGACCUCGGGUCGAUCCCCGGUUGCUUCG